AGGUUUAUUUUCGGCGGUUCAAAAAACCUCCCCAACUUUCCGGUGGUUUCAAUGAAACCGCCUGCAAAUGUUAAAUAUAUCCCGCUCGCUGAUUUGUGCUUCCUUCAAUUAAGUUCUUCUUCAUUAUUUCACAGGCUUUUCAUGCUUCAUUUAUGUUUCUUCUUCAGUUAAGUUCUUCUUCAUUUCACAAGCUCUUCUUCCUUUCACAGGUCUUUCUUCUUCAUUUCAUUUAUGGAAAUUGAUUGGUAAUUUACCCUACGCCCUUCGUCCUUCGCCCCGUGCCUCGUCAUUGUCGCUUGAGUUUCCAGAAAUCGUUGAGUGUGGGCGUCUUCGUUCGUUGCCUGUAAGAACAAAAUCGUUGAGCAAUGCAAGGAGGGAGCGAGGAUCGGAUGUGCCGUCAGCGUUUCCAGGAACUGUAAGCCUACGUGGUGGAAGGCUCUGGCAGGCCUCACACUUCACGAUCUGAAGGAACGGGAGGAGUGCGAAGUGCGGGAUAGGGCGGAUUGUUUCGCCGUGGCUAAGGAGAAAUGUGCAGGCUUCGCCAGGGAUAAGUGUUUGGUUCCCUUUAGGGAUGCAAGGAUUUGGGUUGCGAAAGGGGUUUUGAGUUCCAAGGGUGUUGGGAAGUUGAUUGGUUGGGGAUCGGUGCCUGUGAAUGGGAGGAACAUGUGGUUGAUGAAUCAAAUGGGUCUGAUUGGUGGUGAUUUGGGAAAAAAAUGUUUCUAUCAGAGGAUUCUAUCAAGGUUCAUCCACAGAUACCAAUACGGUGAAGUUGAGAAACGAUAUAUUCAUGAUCCAUUACUUCCUUAGGCCACUAUUAUCAUGGGAGCUAGUUUUGUCUAAAAUUUUUGUCCCCCAUGGAAUGGCAUGUAGCACCUACAAACACCACUGGCUUUUCUUUGUCCUUAUGGCAAAAUGCUUAAAAUGCUUUGGAUGUUGUCGGUGUUGGAGACAUCCUCCGCCGCUACCAUCAACAGCUCCAUGGGAUUGUCACCACUUCAUUGGUUACAGGGAAACAAAUAGUAGUCAAGUCUUUCAAACCAACAGAAAACCAAGAGAGGAGUUGAGAGCCACAAGAGUCUCAACAUGGAGACGCUGUGAUGGAAGCCAUUGUCAAGGCAAGAAAUUGUUCUGUUUUGGGGAAAGGCUCCAUUUUGAAAAUGUAUUUCUUUCCUGGUCAGAGAACUUCCAGUCAUAUACAAAUUCAUGGCGCACCUCAUGUUUUCAAGGUACAUAUACCUAUGCAUGUACUAUUAAAGAAACUAACUCAUCAAAUUUGUGAUGCAAAAGGGUAAGGCUACACGUCCAGUGGUGACCUACAGGAUCAUCCGAUUGUAGGUAGAAUUAGCAUCUUUAACAUGUUUUUGAUGUGAGUUUAUUUGCGGAAAACUUGAUUUAACAAAUGACCAAUCUUGUUAUCUAAUAGUUGUUCAAGUAGAAUACAUUGUGUUACCAUUAAUUGAUACUUUACUAAUUAGUUUAUUUUUCUUCCACUCAUUUUAUGUUGUGCUUUACACUUUUCAUACACAUAAUGACCAUAUUAUAAUAAUUGUAAAUAUAUAUUUUUAUCAUAUAUUUAUAAUUACUAUUUCAUUAUAACUUAUAGUAUCAAUAUUUUUAAUUUAAAAUGUUUUUAUGGAAUUAUGACAUCAUGGUUUGUCUGUUGGAACUUCUGAUAUUAUACAAGAAAAUCACAAGUGGUCUAUGUAGGUGGCGAGAACUGGCAAAGAAUAGCAAUGGUGAAACAUCAUUAUUUGCUUAGAGUAGCUUGUUUUAUUAUUUUGGUGUUUGAAGAACUUUCAGAACUUUCUUUUCAUUAUUUUCUAAUUCUUGUUUUUCUUCUUUGUAAUUAUUGAAAGCUUUAUCUUAUGUUUUUAUCAAUGUAAUACGGUUGACUGUGAGAAUGUCAUUAUCUAUUACUUCACUUAUUCAGGUUGAUGAAUACCCUGUGUAUUGCAUGGCAACUCUAACCAUAUCUGUAUCUUUAACAGGGUCCAUUGCUUUCACAGUUUGCCACAUUUCAACCAUCACCGGUAUCCGAUCAAGCAAGCAUGUAAUGAAGAAGAAUAAAAUUAGACAUAGUUUCUUUUUUAUUAAUAUAAUGAACAUCUCAAUCAUAUUUUUAGUAUUUUAAUUUAGUAUUGAACAUCUUUCUUUUUAUUAUAUGAACAAUUAGUUGUAA